GGCUGACCGCGUAGAAUAGCACGAGGAAUGAUGGAAUGCGGAAUGAUAUGCGAACGCAAAUUUCGAGACAUUUUUAUUAUAGAUUAAUCUAUCACAGAUUUAAUUGCCUCACUAUAUAUUUAUUAUUCGAAUCUUACAUGGCUUUUCAUACUUUGUGGAAUUAGGCAGUUUAUCAGAAGGUAGCAUUCCAGUCAUAUUUCAAUUCAUAUAAAUUCAUCUUUCGCACUUUCGUCAUUUAGUAUUUUUGUAUCAUUUUAUGAUUAAAAUGUACAUAGAUUGUUAUAAAACCAGUUUAAUUUGUCAGACGGUAGACAAAAUAUUAUAGAGGAUCAGAUUUGAGUUCCACUACCGCUACCGCUACAUGGCUUAGUACGCAUCUGAUUGGUUAAUCGAAUAUAUCAAACGCAUCGGAUUGGUUAAUCGAAUAUAUCAAACGCAUCUGAUUGGUUGAUAGUCCAUUAAUGGUAGUGGAAGUCAAAUCUCCUUAUCACUCCAGAUUCGGCCGAGUUGGGCAGUUUUCGACGAGAUUUCGGGGGUUUGGGGUUUUAAUGAGCUCGAGCCGCAAAACAGUUUUCAAGGAGAAGGACACACGAAGAGGCAGUCCAGGUAUUAAAAACAACGAAACUCAGAGGGUUUUGGCACAUAAGAGUAUGAAAAUUGGUAUGAAUCACUUUUUUGGAAAAAUUCUCGCUAAAAUCAUUCGCUGAAAAAAUUUGGGGGGAUGGCUCCGGCAACUACCUCAGAGGAUAUAGCCUGCGGUGCAGACGCAAUUUCCCGACCGCAACGCAAUUAAGGCAGACGCAAUU